rnacentral:rRNA from 1 species
CGGAACGUGCCCAAUCGUGGGGGAGUAACGCAGCGAAAGCUGUGCUAAUACCGCAUACGAUCUACGGAUGAAAGCAGGGGAUCGCAAGACCUUGCGCGAAUGGAGCGGCCGAUGGCAGAUUAGGUAGUUGGUGAGGUAAAGGCUCACCAAGCCUUCGAUCUGUAGCUGGUCUGAGAGGACGACCAGCCACACUGGGACUGAGACACGGCCCAGACUCCUACGGGAGGCAGCAGAG